rnacentral:rRNA from 1 species
CGUUCCCGGGCCUUGUACACACCGCCCGUCACACCACGAGAGUUUACAACACCCGAAGUCGGUGGGGUAACCCGCAAGGGAGCCAGCCGCCGAAGGUGGGGUAGAUGAUUGGGGUG